rnacentral:rRNA from 1 species
AUUGAACGCUGGCGGCAGGCUUAACACAUGCAAGUCGAGCGGAGUGAUGGUGCUUGCACUAUCACUUAGCGGCGGACGGGUGAGUAAUGCUUAGGAAUCUGCCUAUUAGUGGGGGACGACAUCUCGAAAGGGAUGCUAAUACCGCAUACGUCCUACGGGAGAAAGCAGGGGAUCACUUGUGACCUUGCGCUAAUAGAUGAGCCUAAGUCGGAUUAGCUAGUUGGUGGGGUAAAGGCCUACCAAGGCGACGAUCUGUAGCGGGUCUGAGAGGAUGAUCCGCCACACUGGGACAGAGACACGGCCCAGACUCCUACGGGAGGCAGCAGUGGGGAAUAUUGGACAAUGGGGGGAACCCUGAUCCAGCCAUGCCGCGUGUGUGAAGAAGGCCUUAUGGUUGUAAAGCACUUUAAGCGAGGAGGAGGCUUACCUAGUUAAUACCUGGGAUAAGUGGACGUUACUCGCAGAAUAAGCACCGGCUAACUCUGUGCCAGCCGCCGCGGUAACAC